rnacentral:rRNA from 1 species
AACGAACGCUGGCGGCAUGCCUAACACAUGCAAGUCGAACGAGACCUUCGGGUCUAGUGGCGCACGGGUGCGUAACGCGUGGGAACCUGCCCUUAGGUUCGGCAUAACUCCCCGAAAGGGGUGCUAAUACCGGCUAAUGUCUCCGGACCAAAGAUUUAUCGCCUUUGGAUGGGCCUGCGUUGGAUUAGCUAGUUGUUAGGGUAAAAGCCUACCAAGGCGACGAUCCAUAGCUGGUCUGAGAGGAUGAUCAGCGACACUGGGACUGAGACACGGCCCAGACUCCUACGGGAGGCAGCAGUGGGGAAUAUUGGACAAUGGGCGAAAGCCUGAUCCAGCAAUGCCGCGUGAGUGAUGAAGGCCUUAGGGUUGUAAAGCUCUUUUACCCGGGAUGAUAAUGACAGUACCGGGAGAAUAAGCUCCGGCUAACUCCGUG